CUCAAUUCUCUCUACUUUUUCUCUCUAUUCCAAGACCCACAAUUGAAGACCAAGGUUAAAGCUUCUCUAGGUCUCCAAGACUCACUUUUUCUCCAUCAAACUUCAAGGAAUCCUAAGUUAUGGAAGCUAUUCACUCUUGGGAUCUCUUUCCCCAAGAGGCUCUUCAAAAUUGAUUUCCAAUGAUGUCAAAAAUAUGGGUUUUCUUCCAAUUUCGUGAAUGAUCUUUCAAAUUGAUUUGAUAUUGAAUUCCUUUGGUUAUUAUUAAUAGAUUAUGAUUAUUUAUGGGUUAAUUAUUGUAGUUCUUAGUCUUUGACCUAAUUCUAUGAAAGAAUCCAUAAUUGAACCCUUUUUCCUAACCCUAGGUUAUGAAUUAAGGUUGAUUUGAUUAGUGAUGAUGCAAUUGACUUAGUUCUAGUAUAGAUUAAUAUUGUAUGAUUAUAAUAAGUGAAGUGAUGGAUAAAUAUUGUUGGAUUUAUGGUAAGAUAUUGAAGGAGGCUUAUGGAGGCUAUUUGGUUCGGGUCAUUGAAGUGUAGGAGACCCCUUUGAGGGAAGACUUGGAUAUAUUUCUCAAGCUAUUGGUAGGUCCUCAAGCUCGUGGAUGUUGUCAUUCUUCUAUUCUAGCUAUGAUGUUGCUUAUGUCUAAAGACAAUUGUUCUUUCCUUUAUCUCUUGAGACUAUUGUUGUAAGCCUAUAUGUGGCACAUUUUUUUGAAGUAAAGGCUAUGCCCAAUAUUGUAAUUCUCUAUUAUAUGGUUUAAUGUGAGACAAAGUAUUAGACUA